GGGCCUGUGGCGCAACGCAUAACGCGUCUGACUACGGAUCAGAAGAUUCCAGGUUCGAAUCCUGGCAGGCUCG
rnacentral:tRNA from 2 species